rnacentral:rRNA from 1 species
GAUGAACGCUAGCUACAGGCUUAACACAUGCAAGUCGCGGGGCAGCAUGGGGGUUGCUUGCAAUCCCCGAUGGCGACCGGCGCACGGGUGAGUAACGCGUAUCCAACCUGCCCUUCACCACGGGAUAACCCGGCGAAAGUCGGACUAAUACCGUAUGUUGUCCAUUGACGGCAUCCGAUUUGGACGAAAGGCUUGGCGGUGAGGGAUGGGGUUGCGUCCGAUUAGCCAGACGGCGGGGUAACGGCCCACCGGGACUACGAUCGGUAGGGGUGCUGAGAGGAAGGUCCCCCACACUGGAACUGAGACACGGUCCAGACUCCUACGGGAGGCAGCAGUGAGGAAGAUUGGUCAAUGGGCGUAAGCCUGAACCAGCCAAGUAGCGUGCAGGAGGACGGCCCUAUGGGUUGUAAACUGCUUUUAUGCGGGGAUAAAGUGGCCCACGUGUGGGCUUUUGCAGGUACCGCAUGAAUAAGGACCGGCUAAUUCCGUG